GCUCAGCGCCAGCCGGGGGAGGACGCGGCUCCCGGGAGGGGACAGAGCCGGUGCCCGGGGCUGCGGGCAGGACUCGAGCGAUGGGGAACACGAGCUCACUUCUGUGCGUGCCCGCACAUAACUUAGGAGAAUGCACCCGCCAGCCGCCAGGCCUGGGGCCGCCCGUCCCUCCGCGGGGAUUUACCCAGCAGCGCAGAACAUCUUUAAAACAUUCUAAGAUAUGUAUGGUGUGUCUGGAAAGUUUAACUGCAAUGCACCAUCAGCGACUCUCUCAGCCAGUGAGCACUACUGACAGCAAAAGGAAUUCUCCAUACAAGAUCAUCUUUGCUUCAGUUGCAGUUGAAUUAUAAAACAAUAUUUCUACAGUAAACUUCAUUGUCAGUCUUUGCUUAGGAAUGUAAGUAACACUUUUUAACCACCUAAUUAUUUAGGUGGUCUAAUAAUUCAUAGAAAAAAUUAUGUAAGCAAAACAGCAUAUCCUAGGAAAACAUUAGAAAUUAAAUGAAUUUCAUGGUAAUUUCAAGUGAUUAAAAUAUAAUUUUUCUCAUUUUCUGAAAUAAAAAGACAUUGACAGAAAACCAUCAUUUUGGCUCCAAUCUUUCCUAUGGAGAGAAAGAAUAGAGCUAGAGCAGGGAUCAUCCCCCUGUACCCAGCACUGGUGAGGCCUCACAUGGCCUCAGUUUGGGAAGGACUUUGAGGUGCUGGAGCCAGUUCAGAGAAGGGCAAAGGAGCUGAUGAAGGGGCAGGAACUCCUCUUAUGAGGAGCAGCUGAGGGAACAGAGGUUGUUCAGCCUGCAGAAAAGGAGGCAAAGGAGGCACCUUAUCACUCUUGGAUCUUCUCCAAACUAAAUGCUUCUAUGAUUCUGUGAUAGCCUACUCUGGAACUGUACAACUAUCCAGACAGAUUUAUACACAGCUACUUAGGCAACAUGAAAUCCCCAAGUUAUAAAUUCUUGUAACAUCCUAUAUAGCCCAAUAUCCUCUGUUUGCCUUGCUACUGUCAUCUACUGUAUUUCAGCUUUUCUGCUUCCCUUGUUUUUUGCAUUUCCCAUUUUAGCCACCUUUUGGUCUCUUCAGUCUUAAGUACAGGCUUUAAAGUUCAGCUGGAGUUGACCUCUGCCCACUGUUGCUAUUAAAGGUUUGAAAAUUGAACAAGCUACUGUAAUUUCAUGGUAUAAACUAGUAUGUGAAAGCAAGAACACUGACAUAAGGCAAGUCACUAUCAGUGAGAUUGUUCCUAGUUUUAUUGCCAAUUAUAUGAACAGGGUGUGAUAGUGGCUGAAUUAUGUCCAAGUGCAUGACUCAUGCCAUGUAUGGCAAAAAAAUCCAGUAAGAACACUAUGUUAUUGCCUUCUACUUUGCUGUUGGUUCAAGGGGCAUUACUUUCAUUUUAAGAUAUAUGUUGUCAAUUAAUAAAACAUUAACCUGAGAACAGAAGGAGGAAUCUAUAGGCAGCACAUACUAAGCCAUUGAGAAGAAUAUUUAAAGUAGUCUUCUUAUUCCACUAUCCAUUAUUGAAAUUACUGGUAGCUGCACAACAGAGUUUUGCGUAUAAAUCACCUUACCUCCCAUUUAUGGUUGUAAUGAAAAUCAGGGUUUUAAGUACUUCCUGUGGCUUAAUUACUUGAAAGGUCAUUCCCUGUUCCAGACCAGUAUAGGAUGCAAGUAAACCUCUCUAAGCAAAAAACAAAGUUAUGCAAGUGCUAAAGCACUAUGCUAAACUGGAUCCUGGUCAUACUGCUGAAUCAAGUUACUUCUGUGUCAAAUUAAUUCCAUUAAAUGAAAUAACAACACACAAGAAUAUGGCUAUCUCAGGACUGUAUUGCUCAACCUAUCAUUGAGUUAUUUUGAAAGGGAGAGCAAUUGUGAGGAGAAAGUUUGCAUAAAACUGUACUAAGGACACUCAAAUCUAAGGCUGCUUACAAAGAGCUUUAGAAAGUCACUUUGUGCAUUAAGUGGCAGAUAAAAUGGAUCACUUUACAUGCAUAUUUAUGUAGAAAACCCCUUAAAAAUACACAGAAAUGGACUCAUAUGUAGCUAUUUUUUUGAAAGAUCCUGAAACCAUUGUGAAUAGUUUUAGAAAGCCGACAGUUGAGUUGUCUGAGGCAGAAAAAACCAAGAAAAACAAUAAAAUUAAUCCUAAUAAAGGAGUCCUUAGGCUGAUACUGUUUCAGACUGUGGCCAACAGUAGAUCCUGUUAUGUAGGCCUUUACUCUCCCAGCAGAUGGAGAGAAGGACAGAAAUCAUGGAUGUUGGACUAAGCAUGCUAACUUAGAGGGGAGAUGUGUCUUUUUCCCCAGGUUGUCCUUUCCUUGCAGAGCCUUUACAAGGUAUAGACAAUUACACAAAGAAUCUCACUUCCAUAAAACUAGCCAGCACUGCCUUUGGUCCAGCCCUGUAGUCACAUCCUAUAAUGGCUAGGACUGGCUAUUCAAGCAAUGAGAAACAAAGACAGUUUAUGUGUCUGGAUUCUGGUUUCUUAACAAUUUCCUAAAUUAGAAUAUGUAUUUGGAUCCACUUUCUAUUCAUCUGGGUCACUUGCUCAAUUUACUUACAUUGUUUGUUCCAGCUUCCUGUGGCAAUGAGUUUGACAGCAUUCAUACAUCAGACUGUCAGUUUUAACCUCUUUUCUGAUUACUCAUCUGGAAUUUCCCUAAUUCUUGUGUUGUGACACUUAUCAGCCAUACCUUUCCUAAGUGAAGUUGUGCAGGUUUACCUGCACAUUCCUACAUUAUGGGCUUGGUUCCCUGGGCACACUCUUAUUGUGCUACUUUAGCAAUUAUACCUCACAGGCUGUAUCUAUAUUAGUCACUGAAAUAGAUCUCAUUUUCCUAAACUUUACAAGACAUCCAGUUCACAUGCUCCAAGACUACUCUGCCUUACAAGCCAGAAUAUGUCUCAGUUUACUAAAAUUCAAACAAAAACAUCACUGUGGUUGCACCAUAAUCUCCCCAAUGUGCCAAGGAAUCUCCCUUCACCUAAUGCUGUAACAGGCAACCUCAGCCUUAUGUUUCUCUGCUGCCAGGAGUGUUGUGGUGUGUUUAUUAUAAAAAUUAAUUGUUCUGGACAGGAAAUGUCUGUUUUGGUAAAAUGCUUCACUUUAUUUUUUUUUCCUGAGCUGCUGCAGUAGCACCAGGAACUGGUACAAGGGAACACUCAGAGCAGAGGCAAACCUGAGCUGGAUCCAGAUACUCUAGGACAGGGAAAAGCAGGGCAACAAAACAGCAAAGGAGAAUUAUCAAUGAAAUGGAGCACUACAGCCUACAGAGGCAGUCUAUUGCUGGUAGAGUCCUCACUGUAAAUACUCUCUUACAGCAAGAGACUGAGAAUAAGAAGUGAAGGGCAGAGGCAGUCAAUCAUGUCUUGAAGACUGGACUUCUAUAAGACUACUCUGAGUUACUAGUUUGCCUUUAGGACAAUAUUUAAUUAAUUUCUUUCUUCUGCAUAUCUUUCAUUCUCUCAGCAUUCCUGAAAGAAAUUCCUUGCUCAGUUGUUUAUUUCCUUUUCAGAAAAGGUUUAAUUAAAGUUCUCUUGCCUUCACUCCCAUCUUAUUUGAUGGCUCCUUAUGCUCUUUCUACUUCAGUUGUGAUAUAAUAUAUUUGUAGUCUUUGGAGGAGAGGGCACAGGUUUCUGACCAUCUAUUCCUAAGUCCUGGAAAAAGAAAUAUUGUAAUUAAGCAAAAAUAUAGAGAUUCUUAUACUUGGCUGGUUUUGUGGCUGAGGAACGCAACCCAUCAGGGUGUUAAAUACCACCAAUGUCUGGCAUGCCUGCUCCCUUUUCCCCCCUGCCCAACCCCUCUCCAAGAGGAGAGUGUGCACAUCAGGCUUUCAGAGUGGUUUUUAUUCACUGGCAUUGCACAGCAAAGGUUUGUGAGUGUUGAGUGUGCUCUGGAGCCCCCAAAACUGCUGCAAUACCGUGACUCACAAAUCUCUCUAUGGAGGGGCACAAGGGAAAUAGGCAAACUCAUUAACCUUUUUUCCUUUAAUUAAUUUUAUAAAAUCGAGUGGGUUCUUGAUUAAUGAGACUAGGUCUGGUCAAAAAAAAAGAGGUCAGCCAGGCAGGUAACUGUAGCAGCAGAAACAGCUAUGUCUUAUAGGAAUGGUUGAGAGCUUUUAGCAAUAGGUGUAGUAAAAUCCUUCUCUGGUCUUAUGCACAUUUUGUCUUCUUCUUCUCCCCACCCUUCUGACAGCUAAAUUGUGAACAUAAAACUGUCAGAAAUGCAGCCGUGAGGUCUGCUCCAUAGAUGGUUAAUUCUAAAACAGUUUGUUGAUGUUCCCUAAUACAUCAUGUACCAAUUAGAGAGAUGAAGACAACAUAAUUAAUCCUGUCCCUGAAAUAAUCUUCUGUGUGGCAUUUAAGCUUCAGACUAAACAGUUUAAUAGGCAUAAUAUGGUGUUCUGCAGAAGUAGUGAGAGCAAAUAUCCACCCUGUGGUUAAAUAACUGAUUAUCAACAAAUGGUACGACAUUUAAAUAGAACCAUUACUGUUUUAUCAGCUGCAUGAGAGCAAGCUAAUAAUCUGCAAGCAAACAUGAUAAUAAUGCCACUUCAUUCCGUUUUUCCAACUUUGUACUCAAGAUUUUAACAGACUCUGAGAGAAGAAUCACCAUUCUUCAGGAAUAGGGAAACACCAUGAAUUUGUCUAAACUGAAACUCAUGAUGGUGUUUCCCUAGUUAGUACAGACUCUGUUUGAUAUUUCCCCUUCUUCAAAAAAUCAAUUCACAUGCAGUUAAUUAACAGCUGGAAACUUGCCUGAUUGUUUCAUUAGAGUGCAAAAAUAUAACCCAGGGAAGCAGGAACACCAAAAAACUGACUUGCGUAAUUGCUGUUGCAAAAGAGGCUUGCAGCUUCUAUCCAGCCUGUGAGAAACCAGCUGGUGUGCCAGAAUAAGGUAGGCAAACAUUUAAUGUAGUCUCUCUUACUCCUGCAAGAAUUCUUACUGUCUCAAAGGAAGGAAAAUUAUGACAUAUCAUAGUAACUUUUCUGUUUACAGGACCUGCCAUCAAAGCUGCAUUGGGUGGAUACAUAAGCUUACACAGUACAAACAUAUAUGUUAUUUUCAUGGAACACCCUGAAUAUAUCUAACUGCUUGAAAUGGUUAAAUGCAGGUGUCAGGUGUAGUUUGACAUGUUCUCAACAGUCCUCAAGGCAGCAAGGUAUGGGAAAUACUAUAUUCUUCACAUAUAAGAGAUCUUGCACUUGUCUUGAAGCAGAAAUUUGGAAAAUUUUUGUGAUCUUCUCCAUUCAUUCUCCUGUUCUUCUGUUACUAUAAUUUCCUGUUUACCCCUCAAAUGAUUUAGUUAAGGAAUGAAAUUCAUUCAUUAAACUCCUGAAGCUACUCCCUCCAUCUUGCCUUUCCUCCUAUUUCUGCAAGACCACAACAUGGUGCUAUCUGAGGCUCAGUUCUGCCUCAUGAUCACCCCAUCCUUGGGGCUUGAUUUGUCUCUUGAUCAUUUUGAUUAAUAUUUGUUUCCCUCCAGGUGCAAAGCACUCCCCCAAUAUCCUGCUGUCUGCAAUUAUCCCAGCUUAAAUUUUGUUUGAAACCCUAGCUUUAACUCUUCAACUCCUUCCUCUGUGUGAAAGUAAUUAAUUCCUGCUGGAAUUAAUACAUGCUCUGCUGUUCCUUUUCUCUUUAUGGGGACAUUACUGUAUGCUGAUUCUUUACCUGAAAAUCCACAACAGAUACCAAAGCCAAAACUGGGUACCAUACCAGGCCCUAUGGCAUUCUGGCCUUAUUUAGUGACCUCUGCCCUGACCUACAUCAGCUGAUUAAGGUCUAGUAUCCUUUGUGGGUAGGAUAUAUCAAGGACAAGAUAAUCUCUCAAAUCAGGGGUUAGAUUGCACCACAUUUACAUGCACAUCUUUGCUCUGACUCAUGCCUUUACACAUAGUUACAUGGAAGCCACAGCCCUCUCUGGCCAAAUCAAGACUUGUUUGUGUCUUGUUUGUCAGUCUCUGACUGACCACAGAUUUUAGAGAUAGCAGAUUACAUGUGAUGUUACUUCUUGGAUCGUACUCCUUGGAUUUACCCUUCUGUUGUGGUAAGCUUUACAUGAAAGAAAACACGGAGAGGAUUCUGACUGCAUUUGGACACUCACCAUCCAAACCUAUCCUAAUUCACUGUUGCCUUUAAACCAAAAUGUUCUGAGCUACUGAUACAGAUUCUUCUACCCAAAUUCCCAAGGAAAUACCUGGAGUUCAAAGAGGAAUCUUGUGGAUAUGAAAACAGUGAAAGGGAUAACUGACAACUGCAAGCAACUGUGAAGACAGAGAAGAUCUCACAGCUUUAGAUCACAUGUGGCUUAAGAUUUUUUUUGAAAAUACAAGGAGGGACGAAUCUGGUUGUGACUUUCUUUCAAGUUGCCCUCUUCUCUACAACAUGUUCUUUCAUGUUUGCCAGUACUGCCUUGAAAUCCUGACAGCUUGGCAGACAAAACAUUUUUUUAACUACAGUUUCUCCUCUUCAAGGAGCAUGAAAUUAAAUGACUCGGUUUCUGUAGCAGCGGAGAAUGACUCCAAGUCCUUUGUCCAAGACUAAGAGUUGAUACCACUCCCUUCAAAUUUUCCUUGCUCUGUGUUAUGAUUUGUUCUAUCUGCUUCACUUGCUCAAGAGCUCAAAUAGUUGGUUUUUUUUUUUUUUUAAUCCUUUUAAAAACAGUCUCCAGUCAAAAAGAUUUGUAUUGGAAUAGCUUCCUAAAUCAGAAUCUGAAUGUUUGGGGUUUUUUUUUCUGGAAAUCCUGGUAGCUUCCAAUAUUACCUAUUUGUUCUUCCUUUUCAGCUCAAAUUAAAAUGUAUCAUUGUAUAACUGCAAAAUUCUCUUGCCAAUUUGUAAACUAAGAAGCAGUAAUAAAGUAAUGGAACAGUAAUAAACACCUUCCCCAAACUUUGUGGCACACCUCAAAAUCCUUUUGCAAUUAAAGAAAACUAAUUUGACAACUCCCUUUCUAAACAAAUCUCUACUACGUUUCCUUCUACCCAUUGUCUAUGAUGUUUGUUCAUAAAAUACCUUCCUAGUAAAAUUCUAGUAAGAGCCAAAAACCUUAUUGCCCCUUCCACUGUAACACACAGUUUAGGAA